CGGAAAUGUCGAUAGCUCUUUUCCUUAUCACCACAAUUUGGUGGUGGCGCUAGCGUUUAGUAGCCGUGUGAUAGCGAUAAUGGUUGUGUGCAUGAUGCAAGAUAUUUGUCGAGCCCUGCAUUGUUGCUAGUAUAUGUUGCAGAAAUCAGUUAUACAGGGCAAACCUUCUUACACCAUGAGACUUGGGAAAACAGGAGCAGAAAUAUAUACAUCUAUCCUGUCUACAUGAAUACUGGUUUGGCAGUCUGAUCUAGUAGUCUGUGAAAUGUCUACCACCUGUUGAUUACUGGCAUCUUGCUUGAGCAGUGAGAGUCCAUAAUUCUUGCCUACCAGAAGAUGACCAGAAGAAGUCUUGAGAUAAACCAUCAAGUGGCUGGGAGUCUGAGGUGGUCUGUCAAGAACUUGAGGACUACUAGUGUAACAACUCUGAUAGAGCAGGAAUUAACGUCUCUGAACCAUCUCUACUCUUUUAUAGACAGAUGUUCUAAAGUGUGACUACCUUCACCAAGACUUGCCAUAGUUAGAGAACUGUCUUUAGAUGAAGAAGUAUUUGCUGCUGAAAGAAAAACACCAACUAGAAAGACCUAAUCACACAAUACCUCAAAAAACAACUCCAUGUGUAUGUGGUUGUGUUUAUAAUUAAAGGACAACUGUCAGUAUUUCAGGAUUUGGUAGAAAGUGUUUGUGCUGCUUAAUUACACGCCCAUUGUUUUUACGUGCAGAUACUUUAUAUGUUUUAUCAUAUGCGCAUGCUUGGAGAAAGUCUAUUAAGUCCUAUAUUCAGAGAAAUGAAAAAAAAAAUCAUAUUCACAUGUAUUUGUGACAGACACCUUUUUUUCAGAAAUAAAGGUUUUGAUUACUGUGCAUCUGUCAUUUUGGUGCAGAAAGAAUCUGUGGUUAAUGGACUGGUUAUCAAAAUUAAUUUCACUUGAAAUGAAUUUUUAAAGAUUCUAUUGAAGUGGAAUAGUUGCUGAAAUGUCAUUAAAUGGAAUAUAAGUAAAUGUAAAAAUGUGACUGUAUGAUGUAUCAGUUUGAAUAUGUAUAAUGUGACAAUGCUGUUUUCAUCAUGAAUAAAUCAGUUUUGCCCAUUUGCAUUGGUGUCUUUAG
rnacentral:lncRNA from 1 species